AGUGAACGCUGGCGGUAGGCCUAACACAUGCAAGUCGAACGGCAGCACAGUAAGAGCUUGCUCUUACGGGUGGCGAGUGGCGGACGGGUGAGGAAUACAUCGGAAUCUACUUUUUCGUGGGGGAUAACGUAGGGAAACUUACGCUAAUACCGCAUACGACCUACGGGUGAAAGCAGGGGAUCUUCGGACCUUGCGCGAUUGAAUGAGCCGAUGUCGGAUUAGCUAGUUGGCGGGGUAAAGGCCCACCAAGGCGACGAUCCGUAGCUAGUCUGGGAGGAUGAUCAGCCACACUGGAACUGAGACACGGUCCAGACUCCUACGGGAGGCAGCAGUGGGGAAUAUUGGACAAUGGGCGCAAGCCUGAUCCAGCCAUACCGCGUGGGUGAAGAAGGCCUUCGGGUUGUAAAGCCCUUUUGUUGGGAAAGAAAAGCAGCAGGUUAAUACCCCGCUGUUCUGACGGUACCCAAAGAAUAAGCACCGGCUAACUUCGUG
rnacentral:rRNA from 1 species